GUCUCACGAGUCCUCCUUCCUCUUCCACGCCACAAUAUUAUUAAUAAUAUUCAAUAAAAUAAAUGACUAAAUGCACCGAUAUUUUAAAAUGAAACAGCGAAACAUAAUCAGGGUACUAAGAGAUGUGCAGCUGUCUGGAGUAGCUCCUAAACUGGCUUCUGUUGUCACGUGGGACAACACUCGCACUCCAAGUUCAGAACGGUUUUUGGAGGUAACUGAGCCAGUAGAGGAGCCAACGUGUGUCAUCGUUAUUCCGUGCUGUCCUCGCUCUGAGUCUGGAGAAGAGAGUGUAAUGGAGGGUGAGCGAAAAAGCAAAAGAAUUAAUGAACGAAAACGAAGAGCCAUCGACGUAGACUUUGUUGGAGCAGCACCAACGCUUCAGGCUGCUUUACGUAGACCAAAUGAAGAAAUUACUACUCUGAAGGUGAAGGUGGGGAGCCUUGAUGAGAAAGUCAGAUUGCUUGAGGAUGACAAGCAAUUUUUACAACAUAGAUUAAGUGAUGCAUUGGUAUUUAGGAAAACAGUGACUGAACGAAGCCCUUAGUCAGACACAAGCACCAGUGAUGGCACUGAAGACACGGCAAGCAGCUAUAAGGAAGUGGAUAGCACAGAUGAUUCUGAAUCUUUAUCCUGUAAGCGUAAGAAAAGGAAGACAAGAAAGAAGAAACAACUGUUGAAGAAGCAACUAAGGAAGAUGGCAGUGAUGCAUUGAAGGAAAAGAAAAGAAAAGGCAAGGAAGCGAAAAAUGACCAAGGUUUCUGAUACAAGUUGUGACACUGAAGACAAAGACUAAAAAAAAGGAGCAAGAAAAGAAGGGACAACAGAAGAUGAACAAGGAUACUACAAAGAAAAAAGGUAACAAAAGGUACAUGGGUUCAGUUGUUGUAUUUUAAAGUUAUUUUGCAUAUAAAUAGUUCACAGUAUA
rnacentral:lncRNA from 1 species